rnacentral:lncRNA from 1 species
GCUAGUGGUCCGACCGAUGGUUCUCGGUCCCGUCCGGUUGGGUUACUUAGAAAGUCCGACCUUUUAUCCGAUUUUAAAUAUCCCGAUGGCCACAUUACUAAAGUUAAUACCACCUUUCUUAUUCUACCCCCCUAGUCGGUCGGAUCAUACACACCCCCCGGAUCAUUCCUAUCUAAGCUCCUAUCGGAAAUCGUCCCUGGUGUCCGUUCGUUUUAUCGGUUGGUCGAUGAAGAUUCCGUUAUGACGGAAAGUACAGUCGUCAUCGACUAACGUUGAACGGUCAAAAUUGGUCACGAUAAUCUGGCCGUACAAACCGGCUUGGGAGAAAUUAUUUCCACCAUUUACCAAAACCAAAGUAAAAAUUUUAACAUUUGGACAUCUACCGAUUAAAUGAUUACGAAGAAUUUUACUCUACAUAAAAUAUAAUAAUACCGUAC